AGUUUUGAGCAGCAAUAUAUUUGGGGUGUGUGUGUGUACACAUGCUUUUUUUGACAAAUAACUGAGCUAACUGUUUAAAAAUUUGAUUCAAUCCAGUGUCUCACAUUAAUUUGGUUCUUGUUUAAAACAGCUGGAAUUUUAGAUUCAAACCUGUAAACUUGAGAGAAAGGGAAGCCAAAGGUAAUGGAGGCAGAGCUGAGCUCUCAGGAAGCCACUGAGGUGUGUGGCACUGCUAUCCUUACUGUUAAAGCAUACAGUGCUCAGCUGACUUUAGGAAUGAGGAAGUGGAAGUAUAAGUGAAAGCCGUCUUGUUUCUUUUUAAUAGUUAACCAGAUGCACGGUGUGACUGUCUUAGCUCCACUCUCGGUUGCUGUGAUAGAACACCCUGACAAAAGCAGCUUCAGGGACUGAGAGCUUCCUUGGCUUAGAUUGCAGGUUACAUUAUCACUGCAGGGAUGGCUGGCUACAGGGUCAAGUUAUGUACAUAGUGGAGGCCAGAAAGCUGAGAGCUGGUGUUCCCAGUGGGUCUACUCCCUGUCAGCUUGACGACUAAAGCCAGCCAUCACACCCUACUUCUCUACUUGACACACAGGCACCACUGUAAGCAGUACCUUCUCUACCCUUUGUCCCCAGAGUCUCACGUUCAUCUCCUGGUGUGGAUUACAGGCCACCUUUAGAAGUUCUUAUUGUCUUUACAUUUUCCAAUAUUUUAAAAGUCUGGAAUCUUGUAACUGAGUUCCUAUAAAAUCAAAAAUAAGUUGUAUAUUUUCAGCAUAAAAUAUAGAGUGAACAUUCAGUACAGAGUAAACAUUCCUGUUUCAAAAAGAAUUGGGCACAACAAGAAGUAAACAAACGAAGCUCCAUCAGAGAAAACACCAAAUCCUGCAGCUCUUUGUCCUGCAUCUGAGGCUUGUAAUGAAAUUGGCCGAGAUCCAAAUGCAUAGACAGCCCACACUGCUCAGCCCUGCCUCCUCCACACAGCUUCUGCCAGUGCCACACCUGCAGCACUCCACCAUGGUCCUGGCUUCGCCUUCCUACUGGGGUUCCACUGUGCCUAAAGCUCCAUCCUUAUAGAUUAGCCUCUCGGGGACUCUGGGGGCACAGGGACUGCCUCCAUGCCACACAGUGUCUGGCCUCAGCUGCUCUCAGUCACCUCACCUGUAUGUCUUUCAUGACUUCCAAACAGAUAACACAUGGAUAGAAGCCAGGUUCUGUUGGCACCUCAAGAUACAGCCUUUCCCUUUGGACCACAGCUGUAUCCGCUUCCGUGGCCGACCUUGAAGACACGCUUUCCUUUGCAGUUGCUCUCCAGGAGCAGGGAAUGCCUUAGGCUUUCUUCCUGUGGAUGAAUUUGCAUCUUUUCCAGAUGGAACCUCUAAGUGGUGUGGUUUGCCUUCAGAGCCCUCCUCAUUCUCUCCUGCAGCACGGGAGGCUCCUCUUGCCCUCUGCAGACAAAGCUGUACAUUUCUUUAUAUCCAGCUUCCCUCAGGCUCUCAGAACAGGAACAGAAUGAAGCCAGACUCUGGCCAAAAUGCCACAGGAAUGACCCCAGCCCAGUUCCCGAGAGCCCUUGUUCCCUCUGUAACUAUUUUCUGGCCUCCACAUUCUUAUCCUCCACACUCCACUAGAUCGCAGGUUAGCCUCUGCUUCCAGCAUUUAAUGGAUUUUCUUAACCAUCUACCAAACACGUCCAUGUUCUUCCCACGAAACAGCUGCAGUGGCCUAGAAGCCACCUGGUCAGAUCAUCACAGCAAGUGCCUACCUCUUGGUUCUAUUGUCUGCCUUAGUUUUGUUUCUUGUUGCUGUGAUAAAAUACUGAAUAAAAGCAACUAGCUUAAGAGACAAAGAGCUUAUUUGGCUCAUAAUUCCAGGUUACAUCCUAUGGAGGUCACAGGGACUUGAAUCAGCCAGUCAACAUUAUAUCCUUAUUCAAGAGCUUAGAGGUAUUCCCAGGCGAUUCCAGAUUAUAUCAAGUCGGCAGUCAGUGCCAACCAUCACACAGCCCGGGGUGGUGACACACACCUAUAGUUCUAACACUCGGGAAUCAGAGGCAGGUACGUCUCUGUGAGUUCAGGGUCAACAUAGAGUCCCGGUCUCAAAAAUAAACCAUCCGAACUAUCCUGGUUUCAUGUCUGUUGCUGAGAUUAAAAACAAACAAACAACCCUAACAGAAAACUGAAUCCCACCAGGUGAGCAUAAUGGUACUAUCAUAAUUUUUGAGCCAAUUUGAAGCAAGUUAUAUUAAAUAUUAUCUAGGAGGAUGGCCACUGUCCAGGUUCAUCCCCAGAACUCUCAAGAGAGUUCUCUCAAGAGAAUAGCCAUGAACUACGUUAGUCAGAUGCUUAUAAAGGUGGAACCCACAAGGCCAUGCACUACUGAAGUGAUUUUUAUGGGAGAUUUUUGCCAUAGUCUUUCUUGUUUAGCUCCCAAGUGAACAACACAGAUAUCAGAAUUAUUAACAAGCUACAAACCUAAACUGGGCAGGUUCUGAGACUAUAAUAACCCUGCUAGCCUAUUAAUAACCAUAAAUGCCCCAUUGCUGGCCAGCUGGUUCUUGGUGUGUUUCAUGUAUGUCCUCAGUGUAAGCUCUUUAGGCCAUGUGGCUUGUUAUCUUACAUGAACAACAGCCCCCAGCAUUCCAGGAAGUGGGCAAGUGGGGCUUACAGGUUAGAAAAAUUUUUGUUUAAUACAUCUCUUCAGUACAGCGAUUUAAAACUUAAAACAUAACUUUAGCCUUUACAAUGCAACUUCAGGAAGAAAGGGUUUAAUUUUAUUGACAAUUCCAGAUUAUAGUUUAUUAUGGGGAAAUCAAGUUACCGGAAUUUGAAGCAACUGGUAAUGUCACAUCCAGUUAAUAGUAGAGGAAAAUAAAUACACACAAGGCCACUUACUUGUGCUCAGUUUCUCCACUCUCCUAUAACUCAGUAUCCCUGACCUAGUGAGUAGUGUUGCCCCCAGUGUGCUGUUAGGGACAAAAGGUGUCUGUCAUAUCAUCCAAUCAUCAUUGCAGCUGUGAGCCACCUGAUGUCGGUACUAGGAAUUGACCUCUAUUCCUUUGGAAGAGCAACAAGUGCUUUUAAUCCACUCAGGCAUCUCUCCAGGUCCCAUAGUGAACUUCUUAAAGGUAGGAUGCUGAUAUUCAUCAAACAGAGAAACUCAUUUUUAUUUAUUAGAAGGUAGAUAAAGUAAAAAAAAGAGGCAGCAUAUCUCUGAGUUCAAGGCCAUCCUGCUCUAAAAAGUAAGUUCCAGGACAGCCAGGGCUACACAGAGAAACCCUGUUUC
rnacentral:lncRNA from 1 species